rnacentral:SRP_RNA from 1 species
UAAUAUUCUUCGGAGCAACAUCUGCGCGUGAAGUGGGUCAGGGGAGGAAUCCAGCAGCCCUAAGCGAUUGUAGGUGUGUGCUCUUUUUGUAUAUAAAAC